AUUUUAUGAUGUGGACAUUGUAACUGCAACUCCCCAAAUCUUUUCCAAGCUUCGAAGAAUUCCUCCGUAUGCUUUUGUCUAAAAGUUUGUAUCUUGUUUCUCAACU
rnacentral:snoRNA from 1 species